rnacentral:rRNA from 1 species
GAUGAACGCUGACAGAAUGCUUAACACAUGCAAGUCGAUGGGGAAGUGGUGCUUGCACCAUGGCAACCAUGGCGGACGGGUGAGUAACGCGUAAGGGACUUACCUGCAGGACUGGGAUAACAGGGGGAAACUCCUGACAAGACCGGAUAAUGUCAUGGAGCUGCAUGGCUUUAUGAUGAAAGGAGACGCCUGCGGAGAGCCUUGCGUCCUAUUAGCUAGUUGGUGAGGUAAUGGCUCACCAAGGCGAAGAUAGGUAGCCGGCCUGAGAGGGUGGACGGCCACAAGGGGACUGAGAUACGGCCCUUACUCCUACGGGAGGCAGCAGUGGGGAAUAUUGGACAAUGGGGGCAACCCUGAUCCAGCAAUUCUGUGUGCACGAAGAAGGUUUUCGGAUUGUAAAGUGCUUUCAGCAGGGAAGAGGUAAGUGACGGUACCUGCAGAAGAAGCGACGGCUAAAUACGUG